rnacentral:rRNA from 1 species
ACCCGCUGAACUUAAGCAUAUCAAUAAGCGGAGGAAAAGAAACCAACAGGGAUUGCCCUAGUAACGGCGAGUGAAGCGGCAACAGCUCAAAUUUGAAAUCUGGCUCCACCCGGGGUCCGAGUUGUAAUUUGCAGAGGAUGCUUCGGGGUCGGCUCCGGUCUAAGUUCCUUGGAACAGGACGUCAUAGAGGGUGAGAAUCCCGUAUGCGACCGGCAGGCGUCCCCGUGUGAAGCUCCUUCGACGAGUCGAGUUGUUUGGGAAUGCAGCUCUAAAUGGGAGGUAAAUUUCUUCUAAAGCUAAAUACCGGCCAGAGACCGAUAGCGCACAAGUAGAGUGAUCGAAAGAUGAAAAGCACUUUGAAAAGAGAGUUAAAAAGUACGUGAAAUUGUUAAAAGGGAAGCGCUUGCGACCAGACUUGCCCGCGGUUGCUCAGCCCAUUCGGGUGCACUCUUCCGCGGUCAGGCCAGCAUCGGUUUGGGCGGGCGGAUAAAGGUUCCGGGAACGUGGCUCCCCUCGGGGAGUGUUAUAGCCCGGUUCGCAAUGCGCCCUGCCCGGACCGAGGACCGCGCUUCGGCUAGGAUGCUGGCGUAAUGGUCGUAAGCGGCCCGUCUUGAAACACGGACCAAGGAGUCUAACAUCUGUGCGAGUGUUUGGGUGUCAAACCCAUGCGCGUAAUGAAAGUGAACGGAGGUGGGAACCCCCCGGGGCGCACCAUCGACCGAUCCUGAUGUCUUCGGAAGGAUUUGAGUAAGAGCACAGCUGUUGGGACCCGAAAGAUGGUGAACUAUGCCUGAAUAGGGCGAAGCCAGAGGAAACUCUGGUGGAGGCUCGCAGCGGUUCUGACGUGCAAAUCGAUCGUC